rnacentral:rRNA from 1 species
UAGUGACAAUAAAUACCUUACAGAGGUCUCGUUAACCGAGAUCUCUCAAACGGAAUGAGUACAACGUGAAUCCUUUAACGAGGAUCGACUGGAGGGCAAGCCUGGUGCCAGCAGCCGCGGUAAUUCCAGCUCCAGUAGCGUAUAUUAAAGCUGUUGCGGUUAAAAAGCUCGUAGUUGGAUAUCAGUGCGUGUCCGGUCCGGUAUGCCCGGCGGCGGCGCUCGCGCGUCACUGCUGGGCUCCCAAAUAUCGGCUGGCCGCAUUCAAUCGUGCCGGAUCCGUCGACGGGCCGUUCUUCGGAGGGGCCUGUUGGCGACCGGCGACGUUACCUUGAACAAAUUAGAGUGCUCAAAGCAGGCUCUGAAUGCCUGUAUACAUAUUCAUGGAAUUGGAGAAUACGUCCCUGGCUCGAUUUGGUUGGUUUUGAGAGUCGAAGGGAAAUGAUUAAUAGGGACUGACGGAGGCAUUCGUAUUGCGACGCGAGGGGUGAAAUCCUGUGACCGUCGCACGACGAACUACUGCGAAAGCAUUUGCCGAGAAUGUUUUCAUUAGUCAAGAACGAAAGUUAGAGGUUCGAAGGCGAUCAGAUACCGCCCUAGUUCUAACCGUAAACGAUGUCGACCAGCAAUCCGCAACGGUCACUACACGGACUGUGCGGGCAGCUUCCCCGGGGAAACCAGAGUGUAUGGACUCCGGGGGAAGUAUGGUUGCAAAGCUGAAACUUAAAGGAAUUGACGGAAGGGCACCACCAGGAGUGGAGCUUGCGGCUUAAUUUGACUCAACACGGGACAACUCACCAGGCCCGGACACCGUAAGGAUUGACAGACUGAUAGCUCUCUCUUGAUUCAGUGGGUGGUGGUGCAUGGCCGUUCUUAGUUGGUGGAGUGAUUUGUCUGGUUUAUUCCGAUAACGAACGAGACUCUGGCCUAUUAAACUUGACGCCGUCAGUCUCUUGUGACUGCGGU